rnacentral:lncRNA from 10 species
GCCAGCAUUAUUGCGGAUGCAAGUGACAGAAAUUUAUUUCAAACAAGCCUGAGCAAAAGUGUUAAUUAUAAAUCCAUUUUGCUGGGAGCACCAUCAAGGCAGCUUACGGAAUCAAGACUGGAGGUGCCAAAACACCAGGAUUAAAACAUAUUAACUUGUAAAACAUCAGAUCCCUCCCAUUCUCAAAAACAUUCAGAAUCUGGGGGCCCCAAUUUGAACACAAGAAACACAGGAAAAUAUUAAUUCUCUUUUAUAAGACACAGCAAUGAACUAAAAAUACACUAAAGUGGGAAGUCUUAGCCGCUGGUCAGCUGCUCAGGUGUUGAUUAUAAACACUGUAGUGUAUUUGGGAAUGGUGUUGCUGAAUUCACAGUACAGGCAUAGGUAGCAAUACUAAGAUGGUAAGGCAAAUGUUAGUGUCUAGCAUUUUAUUACAUAAAAGCAGGCUCAAAUUAGCAGCAGUUAUAAAAUUACCAUUAUUCAUUUUAAGAUAGUCCUUUGCCUUCAUGUGUAUCUUGCCUUUUUUUAUAC